UUUGCCAUGCAUAUCCAGUUGGAAGCUGCAGCCAACAUACAUGUAGGUUGAUGGAGUUGGGUUGAUCAUUUAAUUCAUAAUUGAAUCGAUGUGACGCAGAGAGAGAGAGAGAGAGAGAGAACAACCUUAUCCAGUGGAGGAAGCAACGAAUAGCAUUAUUCAUAACUUGAAGCAAAAGCAAGAUCGAAGGGUUAAACCAUCAUCAGUACUAGUAGAGAUGAGAUGGGCAGAGAGAAAUAUAUAUUCAGUCAGAGAGAGAGAGAGGAUAUAUAUGUAUAUAUAUACAUAUAUAUAUACAACAAAAUUAAUCAGAUCGAGAGAGGAAGAUGGUACCCAUUAGCAGCCUGCUCUUCCAUUUCCUCUCUCUUGUUUCAUACCUAUCAUCAUCAAGCUCAAGUUCAAGCCCCCCUCCUCCUCCUCCUCCUCAUCAUCAUCAUCCAACAUCCUACGACCCUCUCCAUCAUCAAAAUCCCAGAAGCUGGGAAACUUCACCCCUGGCUUUCGGAUUCUUACACCCAUACGAUCAGCACUACCUCAUCUAGUUCUGGUCAUAAUAUAUAUAUAUAUAUAUGGCGCAUGCAACCUUCAUUAAUUUUCAUCAUCAUGAAGCUAGCUAGCCUCUUCAAUUUCAAUCCUCCUCCAGCAUCUAUCACUAUCGAAGAGCAAUUGAAGCUUAUAAGAGUUAGAAUUUAUGUUUUCGAACUCAAUGGCAUACCACUUGUUGCUGCUGCAAGCCAAAGAUGGAUAGAUAUAUCUAUGGUGCUGCGGCUGCCACAUCGAUCAGAUGCGGAUGAGAUGAUGAAUAUCUUCUGGAAUUAAUGGAGCAAGAAAGAAGAGAAGACUGCAGAUCUAGGCUAGCUUCUAAUUAUUAAUACAAGAGAUGGUGAAAUUUGUGUAUUCUCUCAGGCACAGGUAUCGAUGGAUGUGGUAAUUUAUUACGUUCGGCAGUACUUUUGUAAUUAUUAAUUUAUCUAUCUGUUUUUGUCUAUUGUAAAGUUCAUUUUUAGUAAUUUUAUUCGUUUCCUCAA